AGAACCGUGGACAGCAACAUUUCCCACAGGACACGAAGUUUGUCGGCCCUUGCCUUGGCAGAGCUGAGUAAGAAAAAUCACCAAGAAUAUUAUUUUUGGUAUUUGGAAUUGAAUUUGCCAGGAAUGCAAGCACUGCUACCUAACUAAAGACCUUGGCUUUGGAAACAUCUUACCCCUUGGCAGCUCUCCAGAGUUUAGACUUGGCAGCAUCAAAGACACAACGCAAGGUGUGUUUAUUUGAUUUAACAUUUUGCAAAAGGUGUUUUGAUUUGUGGUUUGUUUUCUUUCACUUUGUACUUAUUGCUUUGGGUUGUUUUUUUCUGGCAAUGAACCUGGGUUCCAAGCAUAGGUUUUUCUUAUGGAAGGCAGUUUUACAAUAAGGAAAUGUUUUUACUUGUAUUUAUUUUGUGAUAUUUCAGCAAAUCCAAAUAAAUGUAGUAACAUUUAUAAAGCUAUACAUUUAUAACUGAUUUAUUUGUUAAAUAUUUAGUAUUAUCAAUUGUCUGUUAAAGAUUUGUUGCUACAUUAAAUGCUUGGUCUGUCUUGAUGU
rnacentral:lncRNA from 1 species